CGGGGGUGAUAACAUUGUGUGCAUCUCCCGCAUCCACGGAAGCUGAACAAAGCUAAAGAAGAGGCCAUCAACAGCAGAAAGUAAUUUAAAAAAUAACACAAAGAAUCGGUAACUAAUUACCAGCCAACGCAUUUUCUAUUUCAAUCUAUCCGGGUGGAAACUGGAAGUUGUUCAUGUCCCUUUCACAGGGAGAUAAAUGGCCAUAAUGUGCUUCAUAUUAAGAAGCAAAGUCCUACACCCAAGUGAUCCCUGGAAAGGGUUCACAGAAGAAAUUUGUUAGACCAUUUUUCAGGCAUUCAAGUCGGGUAGAUAUUGAGUCCACAUAGAGCAACGUGUUGGGACAGAUCGAUGCCAAUGUUCUUUAUGGAGGAGAGUCCAAGGUCACUGAGCUACUCGACAGACCCUUACGGCCGCCCAGACUAAGACGAAUUUCAGCAAAAUCGAACAUGGAAUCAAAUUCUUAUCUGUAUUAUUCGGUGCUUCACGGAAAUUGGUACUUCCAACCCUUGAGCUAAUGAAAAUAUUCUGACAGGUCACUCCUGAAUAAUUGAUUACCAGAAUUCCAUGGACGUUGCAAAGAAAUAAUCUAACUUUCUGGAUUUCAUCAUUUACAUGGUGGCAGCAACAUCAGAGACGAUGUGGUUACUGUGGCCGCGACGCGUGGAGUUGGUGGAGGCAGCCGUGUGAGGUCCUAAAGCAGCCGGGAGAGCAAGCAGACCAGGCACAGUCUCCUGUGGCUACACGGAGCGUUGGUGAAAGUAGCCGAACAUUGCGCUGGGCUAUGCUGACCCAUCUGUCAUCGAUCCUGGGCUGCCAGGACAUCAAGCCCUAAGAUGUGAAAAUAAGAAAUUGCUCAUCUCCUUAGGCCUAGGUCAGACUUUGCACCCACUUGAGACUUUAGACUUUAGAGACACAACGUGGAAGCAGGCCCUUCGGCCCAUGACCGAGUCCGUGCCAAUCCAGCGAUCCCCGCACACCAACACUAUCCU